rnacentral:lncRNA from 1 species
AGACUGCUGUGCUAGCAAUCAGCGAGACUCCGUGGGCGUAGGACCCUACGAGCCAGGUGCGGGAUAUAAUCUCGUGGUGCGCCGUUUUUUAAGCCCGUCUGAAAAGCGCAAUAUUCGGGUGGGAGUGACCCGAUUUUCCAGGUGCGUCCGUCACCCCUUUCUUUGACUCGGAAAGGGAACUCCCUGACCCCUUGCGCUUCCCAGGUGAGGCAAUGCCUCGCCCUGCUUUGGCUCGCGCACGGUGCGCGCACCCACUGACCUGCGCCCACUGUCUGGCACUCCCUAGUGAGAUGAACCUGGUACCUCAGAUGGAAAUGCAGAAAUCACCCGUCUUCUGCGUCGCUCAGGCUGGGAGCUGUAGACCGGAGCUGUUCGUAUUCGGCCAUCUUGGCUCCUCCCCCCAGCCCACAACAGCCUAUGAAGAAUAACUAGAGGUCUUCAUAUCAGAGGCAGAAGGUACUGCAAGCUUACUUUCCAACGUGGCUGCAUCGUUUCACAUUCCCACCAGCAGUAUGAG